CGCGUAGGUGGUAGUGUAAGUCUGGGGUGGAAUCCCAGGGCUUAACCCUGGAACUGCCUUGGAAACUGUAUUACCUGAGUCAGUGAGGGGAGGGUAGAAUUCCUGGUGUAGCGGUGAAAUGCGUAGAUAUCAGGAGGAAGGCCCGUGGCGAAGGCGGCCCUCUGGCGCUGGACUGACACUGAGGCGCGAAAGCGUGGGGAGCAAACAGGAUUAGAUACCCUGGUAGUCCACGCCCUAAACGGUGGGCACUAGGUGUAGGGCUCGUAAGGGUUCUGUGCCGAAGGGAAACCAUUAAGUGCCCCGCCUGGGGAGUACGGCCGCAAGGUUGAA
rnacentral:rRNA from 1 species